rnacentral:rRNA from 1 species
AGUGAACGCUGGCGGUAGGCCUAACACAUGCAAGUCGAACGGCAGCACAGUAAGAGCUUGCUCUUACGGGUGGCGAGUGGCGGACGGGUGAGGAAUACAUCGGAAUCUACUUUUUCGUGGGGGAUAACGUAGGGAAACUUACGCUAAUACCGCAUACGACCUACGGGUGAAAGCAGCGGAUCUUCGGACCUUGCGCGACUGAAUGAGCCGAUGUCGGAUUAGCUAGUUGGCGGGGUAAAGGCCCACCAAGGCGACGAUCCGUAGCUGGUCUGAGAGGAUGAUCAGCCACACUGGAACUGAGACACGGUCCAGACUCCUACGGGAGGCAGCAGUGGGGAAUAUUGGACAAUGGGCGCAAGCCUGAUCCAGCCAUACCGCGUGGGUGAAGAAGGCCUUCGGGUUGUAAAGCCCUUUUGUUGGGAAAGAAAAGCAGCAGGUUAAUACCCCGCUGUUCUGACGGUACCCAAAGAAUAAGCACCGGCUAACUUCGUG